AGCUCCUGCUGCGGUGGCAGACAUGGGAGAGACACGCAAGCUGCAAAGGGAAGCAGAGUCAAAUUAAAGCCUCCCAACCACGGCUCGUGGUGCUGCGGAUGGGGCGUCCCUCCCUCCCUCCCUCGGCUUGAUGAAGGUGGGUGUGAGAUCCCACAGGACUGUCUGGAAGAGAGCCCGUGGAAGUCACUGUAUUUUGCAGAAGCUGGAGGCGAAGCAGAAGGUUGCAGCCUGACACUUCUGCCUCUUUUCCCUCUGGGUAUAUCUUACUGGGUCUUUGCAGGUCAUGGCUGGACUGUUGUGGUGGGGUAACUGAAACAAACCGAAGAGACUGAUGGAAAAAAAAUCAAAAAGCAAGGGCGGAAUUUCAAAGCCUGGAUCAUAGAAGAAGGAAUGCUGCAUGACAAAAACUGCUGAGGCAGAGCUGAGAACAGAAAUCCAGAGGAGAGACAGUGCCCUUACGCAAUGUUCCAAGUGAGUGCAGAGAAGAGAAAUUGACCAACACCUUUCUGUUCAAGAAUAACCGCAUAUGACAUGACUCCAAGGGGGAAAAUAGAACAAGGCUACGGUGGCCGAGGAAUUCAAGACAGCAGCUGGAAAAGAACUGUUUUGAAAGCCCAGUGGUGUUUCACCCCAUCUCUGUAAUGGUGGGGACAUCACAUUUACAUAUUUUGCAGGAAUGCAUUGCCUCUCUCUUUGAGUAUUUUCAUUCCCAAGUUCUACAUGAGGUGAUCCCUAAAAGCAUACUGCACAAGUGAAGGGAUUGACAUCACAAGGCUUUCCACACUUCUGGUGCCAGAUGUCCACAUAGCUGCAAUCCACCUAUUCUUCUUCCUGGAAAACUUCAAACCAGUUAUUCAUUCAAGGAUAGAAACACGAAGCUGCUGCAUCAAGAAGCAAAUUCCGGAGUGGAAUUGUGGGCUCCUUGUACCUAAGCUCCAUGUACCUACCUUCACUUGUGGGCCCAGGCCAACGAGAAAGUACAUCCAACUCUCUAAUGCUAAUAACAUACUGUCCAGGCUAGACAAGGUUAUUCUCUAAAAGGAAUGGUUUGUUCGAAUAAAUGUCUACCUAAUUAUACUGUCACGAAGAGCAUCAGACUUCAAAAAAUAUCCCGAAUUAACUAGUACAGAAAACUCUCCUUGUUCCUCAGUACACAGACAAAAUGGAAUAUCAGAAUCGAUCCUCUCUAAGAACACAGUAUUUGACAUGAGUGAUUUUCCUGAAGAUUCUCAGGGAAUACUAGAAAUGGAGAUCCCCUGGGCUUCUUAUCUAGAGACUUUCUGGCUGCAAUGAGUUGAAAAGUUCAAUUAGUGAUGUCUGUGUGAACCGGGUUGUAGGGUCAUCCACUGGAGAAUGGAUAACAUGUAGCAACAACUGGCUACUGCCCCAAAGAAAAUGACUCUCCACCAGCAGCCAUCAACUGUCAAUGAAGCCUCAGCUAAGGGUAUUUUCUUCAUUUACAUUUCAAACAACAUCCCAAAAGUCCCCUAUACCCUCCUCUGCCCUGCUCCCCUACCCACUCACUCCCAUCUCCUGGCCCUGGCACUCCCCUGUACUGGGGCAUACAAAGUUUGCUAGACCAAGGGGCCUCUCCUCCCUGUGCUGUAAGAUCAAGAGUCGACAAAUGGGACCUCAUAAAAUUGCAAAGCUUCUGUAGGGAAAAAGAUACUGUCAUUAAGACACAAAGGCCACCAACAGAUUGGAAAAGAAUAUUUACCAAUCCUAAAUAUGAUCGGAGACUAAUAUCCAAUAUAUACAAAGAGCUCAAGAAGCUGAACUUUAGAAAUUCAAAUAACCCCAUUAAAAAUGGGGUACAGAGCUAAACAAAGAAAUCUCAACUGAGGAAUACCAAAGGACUGAGAAGCACUUGAAAAAAUGUUCAACAUCCUUAAUCAUCAGGGAAAUGCAAAUCAAAACAACCCUGAGAUUCCACCUCAUAUCCGUCAGAAUGGCUAGAAUCAAAAAUUCAGGUGAUUACAGAUGCUCCUCCAUUGCUGGUGGGAUUGCAAGCUUGUACAACCACUCUGGAAAUCAGUCUGGCGGUUCCUCAGAAAACUGGACAUAGUACUACCAGAAGAUCCAGCAAUACCUCUCUCCUGGGCAUAUACCCAGAAGAUGUUCCAACUGGUAAUAAGGACACAUGCUCCACUAUGUUCAUAGCAGCCUUAUUUAUAAUAGCCAGAAGCUGGAAAGAACCCAGAUGCCCCUCAACAGAGGAAUGGAUACAGAAAAUGUGGUACAUUUACACAAUGGAGUACUACUCAGCUAUUAAAAACAACGAAUUUAUGAAAUUCUUGGGCAAAUGGAUGGAUCUGGAGGAUAUCAUCCUGAGUGAGCCUUUCCAGAGCUAGAAGUUUCUUUGUGAUCCCAUGCUCCUUACUGGUGUCUUCCUGGUUGGGAUGCCUAGGAAUCUCACACAAUCAAAUACGCAAGCAAAAAAGAAGUCUCAUCUGCUUAGGAAAAGUUACCUAAGGAUGGAAGUCCCAGCCUGAAUGUGGACAGCACCACCCAGUGAGCUGUAUCAUUGCAUGAGCACUCACAUCCACAUAUCUUUGCUUCUUAAGUGAAGAUGUAAUGUGAUCAGGCACAUCACAUCACAGCUGCUGAACCUUCUCUAUUCUGAUGGACUGUAUCCCCUCCAACCUUGAGCCAAAAUAAUCCCUCUAUCUUGAAGUUGCUUUUGUCAGUCAUUGUGUUACAGCAAGGGAGAUGUUAUAACUACUCCAUAUUACACAAAAUGUGAUGCAUAAAAAUUAUGCGUGAACAAGUCCUCUAGGUUUUAGAUAAUGUAUCGUAACAACUGGAAGGCGGUGCAUUCUAACGUGAUAAUGAAAAGGUUUUCUCUUCAAUCAAGCUCUUCCACCAUCCACAGCGUUGCUAGAAGGCAGCUCUGGACUAGGGCCUAUUCAAGGUAGCCACACCUCUUCUGACAUGAGGCCUUGUGAUGAUGUUCAGCCUUUCCACUAUCCAAAGAGCACUGAGUCAAGCAAGAAUGGACGACAAGUCUGGAACUAUGAGCCCAAACCUGCUUUUACAUUGAUGGUUGUGGUGAAGAAAAGUGGGGAUUCACAUAAGUGGCGUGGAUCGCAAAGUCACUGAAAAGAAACAGGUGGUCAAAAGGAGCAACAUGGAAGGCAAAUGAAGAAUCUUCCAGUCUCCGUACCGAGAUCUUCCUUUGGUCACUGAGGAAGAGCUUCGCUUAAGCCGAUUAUAUACUGCUCCUUUUGAAUCAACUCUAUUGAGAGAGACUUGACUUUUAAAAUACUCCUCAUAUUCACUUUAUGUGCACGAGUGCUUUGCUUAGAUGUGUGUUUGUGCACCAUGUGUGUCUAGUGCCAGCAGAAGCCAGAAGAGGGUAUCAGGUUCCCUGGAAACUGGAGUUCCAGGUGGUUGUAAGCCACCACAUGGGUGCUGAGAAUCGAACUUCUCUCUCUUGUAUGGUCAGCAAAUGUUCUUAAUUGCUGAGCCAUGAGAUAUAACUUCCGAAAAAGUAAAAUAUACUUUGCUAAUUGCACACUCUGAAAAUGUUGACAAAGACAUUCCGAUGUAUACCUUCUCCUAUCACAAUCCAGGUAAGGAUUAUUUUUACUGCCCCAACAUAUGCAUUUGUGACUCUACCCAGGCGGUUCCUUUCAUCUUUCUUGGCUCAGGAAUCCAGGGUACUCAGCCACAUUUUAUAUGUAAAGAGUUCAUCAAAAAUAGAAUUAUACAAUGCGUUCUUCCCGUAUAUCUGGAUUAUUUUGGCCUGGAGCCAUCCCAAUGGAUACGGUUUUCAUUUAUGUUAACCUAUGACAGCUGAUACUGAACAGUUUAUGAUAUUGGCUCCUUUUCAUCUUUUCUGUGAUUUAUCUGUUCAGAUGUCUGUCCAAUUGUCAUCAUGUUAUUUCUUUCAAAUUAUAGAAUUGUAACAGUUC